GACGAGCCUCACAAACGUUAUUCGGAAUUACUGGGCUUAAAGGGUGCGUAGGCUGCGCGGAAAGUUGGGUGUGAAAUCCCUCGGCUCAACCGAGGAACUGCGCCCAAAACUACCGUGCUCGAGGAAGAUAGAGGUGAGCGGAACUUACGGUGGAGCGGUGAAAUGCGUUGAUAUCGUAAGGAAUACCGGUGGCGAAAGCGACUCUCUGGACGGCAACUGACGCUGAGGCACGAAAGCGUGGGGAGCAAACAGG
rnacentral:rRNA from 1 species